AACAGGGAUUGCCCUAGUAACGGCGAGUGAAGCGGCAACAGCUCAAAUUUGAAAUCUGGCUCUUUCAGAGUCCGAGUUGUAAUUUGCAGAGGGCGCUUUGGCUUUGGCAGCGGUCCAAGUUCCUUGGAACAGGACGUCACAGAGGGUGAGAAUCCCGUACGUGGUCGCUAGCUAUUGCCGUGUAAAGCCCCUUCGACGAGUCGAGUUGUUUGGGAAUGCAGCUCUAAAUGGGAGGUAAAUUUCUUCUAAAGCUAAAUAUUGGCCAGAGACCGAUAGCGCACAAGUAGAGUGAUCGAAAGAUGAAAAGCACUUUGGAAAGAGAGUCAAACAGCACGUGAAAUUGUUGAAAGGGAAGCGCUUGCAGCCAGACUUGCUUGCAGUUGCUCAUCCGGGCUUUUGCCCGGUGCACUCUUCUGCAGGCAGGCCAGCAUCAGUUUGGGCGGUGGGAUAAAGGUCUCUGUCACGUACCAUCCUUCGGGAUGGCCAUAUAGGGGAGACGUCAUACCACCAGCCUGGACUGAGGUCCGCGCAUCUGCUAGGAUGCUGGCGUAAUGGCUGUAAGCGGCCCGUCUUGAAACACGGACCAAGGAGUCUAACAUCUAUGCGAGUGUUUGGGUGUCAAGCCCGAGCGCGUAAUGAAAGUGAACGGAGGUGGGAACCCGCAAGGGUGCACCAUCGACCGAUCCUGAAGUUUACGGAAGGAUUUGAGUAAGAGCAUGGCUGUUGGGACCCGAAAGAUGGUGAACUAUGCUUGAAUAGGGUGAAGCCAGAGGAAACUCUGGUGGAGGCUCGCAGCGGUUCUGACGUGCAAAUCGAUCGUCAAAUUUGGGCAUAGGGGCGAAAGACUAAUCGAA
rnacentral:rRNA from 1 species